CAUCGGAACGUAUCCCGUAGUGGGGGGACAACCCAGCGAAAGCUGGGCUAAUACCGCAUAUGCUCUACGGAGGAAAGCAGGGGACUCUGAGGGAAACCGAGGGGCCUUGUGCUAGGGGAGCGGCCGAUGUCCGAUUAGCUAGUUGGUGGGGUAAAGGCUUACCAAGGCGACGAUCGGUAGCUGGUCUGAGAGGAUGAUCAGCCACACUGGGACUGAGACACGGCCCAG
rnacentral:rRNA from 1 species